rnacentral:sRNA from 1 species
GUUCAGAGAGGAAGAGACGAAAGAUG